AGAACGAACGCUGGCGGCAGGCCUAACACAUGCAAGUUGAACGAUGUAGCAAUACAGAGUAGCGCACGGGUGCGUAACGCGUGGGAAUAUGCCCUUCACUACGGAACAACGUUUGGAAACGAACGCUAAUACCGUAUAACGACUCCGGUCCAAAGAUUUAUCGGUGAAGGAUUAGCCCGCGUCUGAUUAGCUAGUUGGUGAGGUAAUGGCUCACCAAGGCGACGAUCAGUAGCUGGUCUGAGAGGAUGAUCAGCCACACGUGGGACUGAGACGACCGGCCCAGACC
rnacentral:rRNA from 1 species